rnacentral:rRNA from 1 species
AAUAUUGCACAAUGGGCGCAAGCCUGCUGCAGCGACGCCGCGUGGAGGAUGAAGGCCNNNGGGUCNUCAACUCCUGUCUGGGGNGACNAAUACUGACAGUACCCCCGGCCGAACCCCCGGCCACCUACGUGCCAGCAGCCGCGGUAAUACGUAGGGGGCAAGCGUUGUCCGGAAUUAUCGGGCGUAAAGGGUGCGUAGGCGGCCUUUUAAGUCAGAUGUGAAAGCCCACGGCUUAACCGUGGGACUGCAUUUGAAACUGGAAGACUUGAGUUAAGGAGAGGAAAGUGGAAUUCCUAGUGUAGCGGUGAAAUGCGUAGAUAUUAGGAGGAAUACCAGUGGCGAAGGCGACUUUCUGGACUUUUUCUGACGCUGAGGAACGAAAGCAUGGGGAGCAAAC